rnacentral:lncRNA from 1 species
AUCUGUCUCCCUUGCCUAAGUCAAAGGACCACCGCCUGGUCAAGGCACAUAGGGACAAAAGGCUGUUUGUUCUGUGAGAGUCAAGGUAGAGAGAAGCGGUACAUGGCUUUCUCCUCCACAGUCUGGGUGAGUCUGGGGACACCAGAGUGAAGAAGCACAGAUGUGAGGUCCUCAAAGCAGAGGAUCCUGAGAAGAACGUGAUCUGCAGCUAUCUGAGCUUUUUGGUCAGCAGAGAUUACAACUCAUCCUAAUCUCACCCAAGGCAAGGAGACCAAUAAGGAGGAGAUUAAGAUGUGAGACCACGCCUGGGCCUGGGAAAGCCUGAGGAGAUACAGAGUAGGGAGAAUAUUUCAUAUUCCAUGGCCUUACAAGUGUAGGGGAGAAAAAAGUUUUCCUUGACUCCCUUAGGGUACUAGCCUGAGUCUGAAGAUUAAACUGACAAAGACAGAUUAACAGGAGAAAGGCAUAUAAAUUUUACUGAAUAUUUGCAUGUGCACGGGAGCCUUUACAAGAGAAUGACGACCCAAAGAAAUGACCAGAACUGGAAGCUUUUAUACCUUUUAUACAAAGAAACAACAAAUUUGGAAAGAAUGGACAAGACAAGGUGUUUGGGCUAUGGGUAGUAAAUGGUAAAGAAGUAAUAAGGUUUGUUUAUACAGGCUUCUCCAUCCUAUAUUCCUUGUCUGCUGAUAACCAUGUCUUUUAUCCUCCUAAUAUAAGGAGGGUACUUUUCACAUGAGAGAUUUCAGGUGCACAAAGAAGAGUCAAGGUGUCCUUCUUGUACUGGCUAUUUCUUAAGUACCUUUACUUCAAAAUAAUCACUAUGCCAAAGUGGAUAUUUUAGAGUGACAUAUUUGCCACCCUUUACAAGUCUCACUUCUUACUGUUGGCAUAUGUAAUAAAAAGUUUUCACGCUUUACCCACUGAAAGAUUGUAUCUGCACAGGGUAAGCACGGAACCGAACCUGAGCCCCAGUGAGCCGACUCACUCCAUGAAGAACAGUAACAGACUGUGUAAGCAGGUCCAGGAGCGUCAGAGAAGAUCUGUCACAGUGGGAAUUAUGAUGAGGCAUGGAAAGCAAUAAGCAACUGAUACGGAUAAGGAUCUGAAUAGUGUUAAGACUGACACAUUUAUUUUCAUUAGCACCAGCUGGAAGAUAACACCAGGACUAUGUGAUAUUUUUAGGUAACUUUUUUUUUACUUUAUUUAAUCAAUAUGUAAUC